UACGGGAGGGGCAAGCGUUGUUCGGAAUUACUGGGCGUGAAGGGCUCGUAGGUGGCCAACUAAGUCAGACGUGAAAUCCCUCGGCGUUAACCGGGGAACUGCGUCUGAUACUGGACGGCUUGAGUUCGGGAGAGGGAAGCGGAAUUCCGGGUGUCGAGCGGUGAAAUGCGUAGAUAUCCGGGAGGAACACCGGUGGCGAAGGCGGCUUCCGGCCGA
rnacentral:rRNA from 1 species